rnacentral:tmRNA from 1 species
GGGGCUGAUUCUGGAUUCGACGGGAUUUGCGAAACCCAAGGUGCAUGCCGAGGGGCGGUUGGCCUCGUAAAAAGCCGCAAAAAAUAGUCGCAAACGACGAAAACUACGCUUUAGCAGCUUAAUAACCUGC